rnacentral:piRNA from 1 species
UCACUGCACCCACUUGUUCAG